AAAAAGGGGGGGCCCCCCCCCCAAAGGGGGGAAAAAAAAAACCCCCCGGGGGGGGGGUUUUUUCCCCCCCCCCGGGGGGGGGUUUUUUUUGGGGCCAUUUUUUUUUUUGGGGGGGGGGGGUUUUUUUUUCCCAAAACCCCCCCCCCU